rnacentral:rRNA from 1 species
UAUGCGGGUGCUACCUGCAAGUCGAGCGAGAAAGCCCGCAAGGGUGAGUACAGCGGCGCACGGGUGCGUAACACGUGGGUAAUCUUCCUUGGAGCCCGGAAUAACUCCCCGAAAGGGGUGCUAAUGCCGGAUGAGACCACGGGAUCUUUGGAUCCUGAGGGAAAAGGCGGCCUCUGUACACAAGCUGUCACUCCAAGAUGAGCCCGCGGCCCAUCAGCUAGUUGGCGGGGUAACGGCCCACCAAGGCUACGACGGGUAGCUGGUCUGAGAGGACGAUCAGCCACACUGGAACUGAGACACGGUCCAGACUCCUACGGGAGGCAGCAGUGGGGAAUCUUGCGCAAUGGGCGAAAGCCUGACGCAGCAACGCCGCGUGUGUGAUGAAGGUCUUCGGAUCGUAAAGCACUGUCGGGAGGGACGAAUAAGGCGGCGGCUAACAUCCGCAGCUGAUGACGGUACCUCCAAAGGAAGCACCGGCUAACUCUGUGCCAGCAGCCGCGGUAAUACAGAGGGUGCAAGCGUUGUUCGGAAUUAUUGGGCGUAAAGCGCGUGUAGGCGGCCUUGCAAGUUGGGUGUGAAAGCCCUCGGCUUAACCGAGGAAGUGCGCCCAAAACUACAGGGCUUGAGUACCGGAGAGGGUGGCGGAAUUCCCGGUGUAGAGGUGAAAUUCGUAGAUAUCGGGAGGAACACCAGUGGCGAAGGCGGCCACCUGGACGGAUACUGACGCUGAGACGCGAAAGCGUGGGGUAGCAAACAGAUUAGAUACCCUGGUAGUCCACGCUGUAACGAUGAGCGCUAGUUGUUUGUGGGUGUUGACCCCCGCAGUGCCGC